ACUCAGGUGUUGUUGGGUAGGGGAGCGUUCUGUAAGCCUGCGAAGGUGGCCUGUGAGGGUUGCUGGAGGUAUCAGAAGUGCGAAUGCUGACAUAAGUAACGAUAAAGCGGGUGAAAAGCCCGCUCGCCGGAAGACCAAGGGUUCCUGUCCAACGUUAAUCGGGGCAGGGUGAGUCGACCCCUAAGGCGAGGCCGAAAGGCGUAGUCGAUGGGAAACGGGUUAAUAUUCCCGUACUUGGUGUUACUGCGAAGGGGGGACGGAGAAGGCUAUGUUGGCCGGGCGACGGUUGUCCCGGUUUAAGCGUGUAGGUGUGUGUUCCAGGUAAAUCCGGUUCACUUUAACACUGAGGCGUGAUGACGAGGCACUACGGUGCUGAAGCAACAAAUGCCCUGCUUCCAGGAAAAGCCUCUAAGCAUCAGGUAACAUCAAAUCGUACCCCAAACCGACACAGGUGGUCAGGUAGAGAAUACCAAGGCGCUUGAGAGAACUCGGGUGAAGGAACUAGGCAAAAUGGUGCCGUAACUUCGGGAGAAGGCACGCUGACACGUAGGUGAAGUGAUUUACUCAUGGAGCUGAAGUCAGUCGAAGAUACCAGCUGGCUGCAACUGUUUAUUAAAAACACAGCACUGUGCAAACACGAAAGUGGACGUAUACGGUGUGACGCCUGCCCGGUGCCGGAAGGUUAAUUGAUGGGGUCAGCGCAAGCGAAGCUCCUGAUCGAAGCCCCGGUAAACGGCGGCCGUAACUAUAACGGUCCUAAGGUAGCGAAAUUCCUUGUCGGGUAAGUUCCGACCUGCACGAAUGGCGUAAUGAUGGCCAGGCUGUCUCCACCCGAGACUCAGUGAAAUUGAACUCGCUGUGAAGAUGCAGUGUACCCGCGGCAAGACGGAAAGACCCCGUGAACCUUUACUAUAGCUUGACACUGAACAUUGAGCCUUGAUGUGUAGGAUAGGUGGGAGGCUUUGAAGUGUGGACGCCAGUCUGCAUGGAGCCGACCUUGAAAUACCACCCUUUAAUGUUUGAUGUUCUAACGUGGACCCGUGAUCCGGGUUGCGGACAGUGUCUGGUGGGUAGUUUGACUGGGGCGGUCUCCUCCUAAAGAGUAACGGAGGAGCACGAAGGUUGGCUAAUCCUGGUCGGACAUCAGGAGGUUAGUGCAAUGGCAUAAGCCAGCUUGACUGCGAGCGUGACGGCGCGAGCAGGUGCGAAAGCAGGUCAUAGUGAUCCGGUGGUUCUGAAUGGAAGGGCCAUCGCUCAACGGAUAAAAGGUACUCCGGGGAUAACAGGCUGAUACCGCCCAAGAGUUCAUAUCGACGGCGGUGUUUGGCACCUCGAUGUCGGCUCAUCACAUCCUGGGGCUGAAGUAGGUCCCAAGGGUAUGGCUGUUCGCCAUUUAAAGUGGUACGCGAGCUGGGUUUAGAACGUCGUGAGACAGUUCGGUCCCUAUCUGCCGUGGGCGCUGGAGAACUGAGGGGGGCUGCUCCUAGUACGAGAGGACCGGAGUGGACGCAUCACUGGUGUUCGGGUUGUCAUGCCAAUGGCACUGCCCGGUAGCUAAAUGCGGAAGAGAUAAGUGCUGAAAGCAUCUAAGCACGAAACUUGCCCCGAGAUGAGUUCUCCCUGAGACUUUAAGUCUCCUGAAGGAACGUUGAAGACGACGACGUUGAUAGGCCGGGUGUGUAAGCGCAGCGAUGCGUUGAGCUAACCGGUACUAAUGAACCGUGAGGCUUAACCUU
rnacentral:rRNA from 1 species